GGCUGGGAGACGUGUCCACUCUGUUCCUGAUGUACAUGUCAAAGUCAAAGUGCAUCCACACACACACACACACACACACACACACACACACACACACACUCACACACACACACACACACACACACACACACACACACACACACACACACACACACACACACACACGGGAAUUUAUCUUAGCUAAAUACAGUAGCCUAACUCAGGAACAAACCUAAUUUGACUAGUUAAUUGUGUUCAAACUCUGAAAUUGGGGAAAAAUAAAAACAAAUCAGUAAAAUCAUGGGCUGCUGUUGUGUGAAGACUUACAACCUUAGAAAUAUUUUAGAAAUAAAAUGAAUUCAGAGCUAAAAUAAAGUGAUGUUAGUCAUGUCCCAUUUCCUUCACAUAUUUCCAAUCCUGAGAACAGGCAGAGCUCAGGGUUGUUUAUAAUGAUCACUGAGAUGAAUGUACUGAGGUCCUUUAAAUAAAUGUGACGAGACAUCCUAACUCAGUGGGACAGAACAUUGCUAAGCACUGAGCAUAAAGCGCCUAUAAAACUUUAUAUUCCAAUAUCAGCCUAAAAACACCGCACCACAAGGGUUAAUGAUCCAAGACCAGUUUAAGCGAUCACAAAGUGGACGAUUUUACCACUGAGCCGUUGACUAUCGUCUUCAGAGCCCACGGCAAUCCAAGUCCCACCAGGAUGUCAAACACGUUAAAUAAUGCUGAUCUCUUCUGCCCACACUAUAUGGGUAAUAUGAGCUGACUAGAUAGAGUUCAAGAGGUGUUUCUUUUUAAAAGUCAGGUUUAUUAAUGCUAAUUUCCUCUGCUAACACUACAUAUAUUUAAUUGUUAUAAUUAAACAAAAUUCUGCAUUGUA